UUUGCCUACCCUUGUCGAUAUAAACGACACCUCUGUUCACAGUACAGUUCAACAGCAACCCAAACUUCAUCCUCCAAACAUAUAUCAUUAACUUAUGUCUUGUGUCCGCAGCGGCAGAUGGCCACGCACCAAGAGUCAGGGUCUCUCCAAGGUUUCUGCCUGUAAAAAGGACGUUUUUCUUCCCUCUUGGGGGAGAAUUGUUGGGUCUUUGUAAAUUAUAGUGUGGUCUAGAUCUACUCUGUCUGUAAAGUGUCCUGAGGCAACUCCUGUUAUGAUUUGACACCAUUAAUAAAACUGAAUUCUAGUCGCUACGUUUUUGCCUCCUAAACUCCUUAUCAAGUGGAAAAUGUUUCUUCACCUCUUUUUCCACAUUGAUGUAGAACUGACGAAUACCCUCAAGGGUCAGCUCCUCCUUCUUUACCAGGAUUCUGACGGGUUCACGCAUGAACUUCUUCGUUA